rnacentral:lncRNA from 1 species
GAAUUUUGAUUAAAUCAGACUUUUUUUGUCAAUCAACUAAAAAGAUUAAAUGCGUGUCAUGCACUUUCGAUGACAUGACAAUUUAACGAAUUAAACAGUGACACAUGUCAUGUGGGUCCAAAAAAAUAUUUUAAAAUAUAUUAUAGCAACAUAAAAAAAAUUAUUUUAAAAUUAAUUUAAAAUGACAACCCUUUGUCUUCUUUGCCGUCUUGUUCACCUCAAAAUAAUGUUGCUCUGCCAUGCUUAAGUGUCUCUCUAAGUGAAAGACAUGAUGCCAAAGGAUUACUAGAGACAUUGCUAACUUUGGGCCAAGAGUUCGAAAUUUAAUCACACAUUAUACCAGUGAAUUUCUACCUCAUGCAAUGUCUCAAACUUCUUUGCUGUCUUCUUCCCCAAUUCUUCACUUCCGACCAUCAAACUCAAAAAUAAAAUCUAAUGUCGUUGUUAUUUUGGCCGGAAAAGCACCAAUUAAGCCAAGUUCAUCGAUCAAAGCAGAAAAAAAUUAUAAAAAUUGUCUGAUAAUGAUUUAUAUUAAGGUUGUUAUUUUUUUCGGUGACACACCAUUUUUCCAAUGACACGCCAUGUCGUUCAGUGGUAAAGUAAGAAGGAACAUUGGAAUCACUAAUCAAUAAAAACAAAGCUCGUGAUUAGAGCAACUUCCAAUGAACAAAACAAAUUCAAAAAGAAA